GAUGAAGAACGCAGCGAAAUGCGAUAACUAAUGUGAAUUGCAGAAUUCCGUGAAUCAUCGAGUCUUUGAACGCACAUUGCGCCCCCUGGUAUUCCGGGGGGCAUGCCUGUCCGAGCGUCAUUGCUGCCCAUCAAGCACGGCUUGUGUGUUGGGUCCUCGUCCCCCCCGGGGGACGUGCCCGAAAGGCAGCGGCGGCACCGCGUCCGGUCCUCGAGCGUAUGGGGCUUUGUCACCCGCUCUGCAGGCCCGGCCGGCGCUGGCCGACGCGAAAGCAACCAUUUUUUCUCCAGGUUGACCUCGGAUCAGGUAGGGAUACCGCUGAACUUAAGCAUAUCAAUAAGCGGAGGA
rnacentral:misc_RNA from 1 species